rnacentral:misc_RNA from 1 species
AAAAAGCACACCCCUCUGCCUUCUUUACCUUUUUAUAAACUCCUUGAUAAGCCUAAUCUCUUCUUUGGGAAUUUAUCACUUUUUUUUUCUUGUAUUGUUGCUCAACUAUAAAACAUGCCCCAUAUCUAUUUCUUAUAUUUACAAGAAUGGUACACUUCCAUGAAAGGAAAACUCAUUAUCCUAUAACACCACUAAUUCAUCUCACUGUGAUUAGAGAAAAUUUUAAAGAGAAAGACAGUGUUAAAUAUUUUUAUAACUGAUAGAUGAAUCUAAGGUGUAA